rnacentral:siRNA from 1 species
CUCUUCAUCGAUGCCUAACGC